GAUGAACGCUGGCGGCGUGCCUAAUGCAUGCAAGUCGAGCGAACAGACGAGGAGCUUGCUCCUCUGACGUUAGCGGCGGACGGGUGAGUAACACGUGGAUAACCUACCUAUAAGACUGGGAUAACUUCGGGAAACCGGAGCUAAUACCGGAUAACAUGUUGAACCGCAUGGUUCAACAGUGAAAGACGGUCUUGCUGUCACUUAUAGAUGGAUCCGCGCCGCAUUAGCUAGUUGGUAAGGUAACGGCUUACCAAGGCAACGAUGCGUAGCCGACCUGAGAGGGUGAUCGGCCACACUGGAACUGAGACACGGUCCAGACGCCUACGGGAGGCAGCAGUAGGGAAUCUUCCGCAAUGGGCGAAAGCCUGACGGAGCAACGCCGCGUGAGUGAAGAAGGUCUUCGGAUCGUAAAACUCUGUUAUUAGGGAAGAACAAAUGUGUAAGUAACUAUGCACGUCUUGACGGUACCUAAUCAGAAAGCCACGGCUAACUACGUG
rnacentral:rRNA from 1 species